rnacentral:rRNA from 1 species
UACGUAGGGAGCAAGCGUUGUCCGGAAUCAUUGGGCGUAAAGAGCGUGUAGGCGGCCAAACAGGUCCGUUGUGAAAACUGGAGGCUCAACCUCCAGACGUCGACGGAAACCGUGUGGCUAGAGUCCGGAAGAGGAGAGUGGAAUUCCUGGUGUAGCGGUGAAAUGCGCAGAUAUCAGGAAGAACACCAAUGGCGAAGGCAGCUCUCUGGGACGGUACUGACGCUGAGACGCGAAAGCGUGGGGAGCGAACAGG